UACGUAGGUCCCGAGCGUUGUCCGGAUUUAUUGGGCGUAAAGCGAGCGCAGAUGGUUUAUUAAGUCUGGUGUAAAAGGCAGUGGCUCAACCAUUGUAUGCAUUGGAAACUGGUAGACUUGAGUGCAGGAGAGGAGAGUGGAAUUCCAUGUGUAGCGGUGAAAUGCAUAGAUAUCACGCAGAACUCCGAUUGCGAAGGCAGCGUACCGGCAUCCAACUGACGCUGAGGCACGAAAGCGUGGGGAUCAAACAGG
rnacentral:rRNA from 1 species